rnacentral:rRNA from 1 species
AGACAUUGGAAGUAAAAGUCGUAACAAGGUUUCCGUAGGUGAACCUGCGGAAGGAUCAUUAAAGAGUAAGGGUGCUCAGCGCCCGACCUCCAACCCUUUGUUGUUAAAACUACCUUGUUGCUUUGGCGGGACCGCUCGGUCUCGAGCCGCUGGGGAUUCGUCCCAGGCGAGCGCCCGCCAGAGUUAGACCAAACUCUUGUUAUUUAACCGGUCGUCUGAGUUAAAAUUUUGAAUAAAUCAAAACUUUCAACAACGGAUCUCUUGGUUCUCGCAUCGAUGAAGAACGCAGCGAAAUGCGAUAAGUAAUGUGAAUUGCAGAAUUCAGUGAAUCGUCGAAUCUUUGAACGCACAUUGCGCCCCUUGGUAUUCCGAGGGGCAUGCCUGUUCGAGCGUCAUUACACCACUCAAGCUAUGCUUGGUAUUGGGCGUCGUCCUUAGUUGGGCGCGCCUUAAAGACCUCGGCGAGGCCACUCCGGCUUUAGGCGUAGUAGAAUUUAUUCGAACGUCUGUCAAAGGAGAGGAACUCUGCCGACUGAAACCUUUAUUUUUCUAGGUUGACCUCGGAUCAGGUAGGGAUACCCGCUGAACUUAAGCAUAUCAAUAAGCGGAGGAAAUGUCUGAAUUCGA